AUUGAACGCUGGCGGCAGGCCUAACACAUGCAAGUCGAGCGGAUGAAGGGAGCUUGCUCCUGGAUUCAGCGGCGGACGGGUGAGUAAUGCCUAGGAAUCUGCCUGGUAGUGGGGGAUAACGUCCGGAAACGGGCGCUAAUACCGCAUACGUCCUGAGUGAGAAAGUGGGGGAUCUUCGGACCUCACGCUAUCAGAUGAGCCUAGGUCGGAUUAGCUAGUUGGUGUGGUAAAGGCCUACCAAGGCGACGAUCCGUAACUGGUCUGAGAGGAUGAUCAGUCACACUGGAAGUGAGAAACGGUCCAGACUCCUACGGGAGGCAGCAGUGGGGAAUAUUGGACAAUGGGCGAAAGCCUGAUCCAGCCAUGCCGCGUGUGUGAAGAAGGUCUUCGGCUUGUAAAGCACUUUAAGUUGGGAGGAAGGGAAGUAAGUUAAUCCCUUGCUGUUUUGACGUUACCAACAGAAUAAGCACCGGCUAACUUCGUG
rnacentral:rRNA from 1 species